GCCACACGCAAUAAUUAAAUGCCCACAUUCAACCAACAUACAACAAUAACAUUUCGUAAUUGUUCUUAUUUUGAAAUUCUUAAUUAGUGUUCUUAAGGUCAUAAUACCACUAAACUCAUGUGAAAAACUGAUUAAUAACGUAAGUGAUAAUUGUUAUUAUUAUAUUAUUAAAUAUUAAACGGUGCAAAAAAUCUAAUGAGUAUAAGGCCUAUAUAAAUAUAGGAAUUAUUUAAUAAAUUUAGUUAAAGUAAAUCUUUCAAACAGUAUCUACCUAAAUUCAAUAAUCAUGAUGUCCAAAGCGGUCUUCCUGUUCGCCCUAUUGGCUUUAUCUAUGGCAGCUCCAGCACCUAGCAACAUCCUGACAUACGCUGAAGUGUACCCAGCUGUUGAAAGCUACUCCAGCUAUUCGGACUCUGUGGUUCACGGCACUCCUAUAGUCUCCGUGCCAUUAGUGGAAUCUGUACCAAUAGUGCAGGCGUAUGGAUAUGAUCAAGUUCUUUUCUAAUCUUUUAAUUAUAUUCACAUUUAAAAUAUCUAUUAUUUAAACCAUAUUUUAUAUUAUAUAUUCUUUCUUGUAUUUAAUAAAUGGCCUAUUGCCG